UCCUCCCCCGCCCAGCUCACUCCACCUUCGAGUUCUCCUCCUCUCCUGGCCGCCGCCGCCGUGCUCGGGUCAUCUCUUCUUGCCAUGGUGGUAUGGUAGAAAGAAGGAGACUACUGUUGAUCCCUGCAAUUAGUCUCACCAUUGGCUCCCUUCAGUACAGUCUGGAGAAGGGAGCAGCAAAAGCUGAAUUUACUGACAUGCCAGCGCUUCGUGGGAAGGAUUAUGGAAAGACGAAAAUGAGUUAUCCAGAUUACACUGAAACAGAAUCAGGCCUCCAAUACAAGGCGCUUACACUGCCAUUCGAUGGUUCCUGCAUAAUACUCAAAAGUUCAGAUUUGUUAGGUUCACAAUUCUCAUGAGGAAUUACAGGACUUGCGAGUUGGAGAGGGCCCAUCCCCAAAGAAGGGAGAGACAGUAGUGAUUGAUUGGGAUGGGUACACAAUUGGAUACUACGGUCGCAUUUUUGAAGCUCGAAACAAGACCAAAGGUGGUUCUUUCGAGGUAAUACCAGCCUUUGAGGAGGCUAUGACAGGCAUGCGUCCCGGUGGAGUUAGAAGGAUAAUAGUACCACCGGAUAUUGGAUACCCAGAUAAUGACUUGAACAAGUUAGGCCCAAAACCGACAACAUUUUCGGGACAAAGAGCUCUAGAUUUCGUUCUAAGGAAUCAAGGAUUAAUAGACAAAACUCUCCUGUUUGACAUUGAGCUUAUCAGGAUAAUUCCGAGUCAAUAGUAUACAAGGGCAAUUUUGAUGACCAAGAAGCAUACAGUUUGAGCAUGGUAUCAAAUCCUUGGAUGAUCAUGGGAUAUGUAAAUAUAUACACUAUAUACUUGAGUAUUAAUAAAAAACUUUGAUAUCGUCCACCCAUUUUGUUGUUUACUGAAAAAAUACUAAGGAUUUUAAAGUGCAACCAGAUAGAUCGAAUCUAUUCUUGAAAUAGGCAACUUUCACACGAUCCCUAGAUUGGGUUAUUAGUUGAAUAAAUACUUGCAGCACACAACUUACACAACACGAAAAAUUAUGUACUCUUCAUGCACAUUUCCUGCCUUUUAUUUUAUUUUGUGCACUACCUAGAUUAAUUUUGAAGUCUAAAUAGUAGGGAUUGACAGGGAAACAUAUAUAUCCAUAAUACACCCUCUGUUCUCUAAAUAUAAGAUGUUUUGGCAGUUCAGUUUAAACUGCCAAAACGUUUUAUGUUUAGAAACAGAGGUAGUACCUAGAACUAGAAGAGAGAACAUGCGCAACUAACAGCGUAUGCUUCAUUUGUUUUGCUGUUUUUUUUUUUGCCAUGUCUAGGAGCUGAAAGCUUCAGCCUCUGUGAUCUGUCCUUAAUCUGUUUCAGUCUCCUGCAAAAGGGAAGCUUUUGUAAUCAAAAUUUGACUGGAAAUUUGCAAUAUGCCUUUAUUUUGAAUUAUAAUAUCACGAAUUAAGCAUACCGAGUGGAUUUUAUCUGAUAUUGUCCCCAAUAUGUAUUUCUUUUAUCUGCACAAAUUAGAGCAGCAAGUAUAGAUCAAAUUUUAUCUGAUACUGUCAUUUAUUCUGAAAAUAUGGUUGUUCACUAUUUCAUGGAACAUUCUUGUAGAACUUCUAUCUUUGAACAAAAGCAUUUAACUUUCUCAACGGGAAAAGUGGAUUAGUAGGUACCAAAUUUUGCCCUGCAACUAACAUUUGAUGCUUUGGGCCGAUUUUUGAAUUUUUCCCACUUCAACUUUUGCUCUAGACAGAUGGAUGAUAGACUGAUAGUAGGUUUGACCUUCCCUAGCUUUAAUGAUUUCGAUUUCGAACUUCGGAACCGUGGUUCAUUUGAUCUAAGGUCCUAUUCAUUCUAGGUUAUCUUUGUACCUCCACAUGAGGUUUUUGAUUGCUGUCUUUCUUAGUUAGCCACACAUUUGUUCAUGUUUGAGUACCUCACUCAUUAAAUUUGUAUGAGGUGAUUAUACACUGUGACUAAAUAGUGUUUUAGUAACUCCUUGUAUCAACUUCACUUUCAAGACAUUCAUCAAUGAACACAGAACACUAUUCGUCCCACCCCAUGACUCACGUCUUGCUUGAAGCUAUGGGCUAAACAACAUGAAUUCAAGUCGCACUGCUAAGUUUCUUGAUGCUUCGUAACCCCAAGUCAAUUGUGUGCUUCAAUGGUAUCCAUUGUAAAGGAAAUUCAUGCUCUUACAAUUUACAAACAUAACCUACUGUGCUAUGUUCCAAUGGCUAGAGAGCAUUGGAUUUAUUGUCUGGGUAUCUUCUUGAAACUUCUUCCACUAAAACACCCUUCUAUGCAGUGUGGCGGCAGUCUAGAGAAAUUGGGCAGACCAAAGACCUUGAUGAUAAAUCAUUGGUGAAUGGUGGCCAUGUUUAAUACAUGACGUGAGAAGAUUAGUACUUCCUCCCUAGUGUGAAAAAGCGUCUUACAUUAUGGGACAGAGGGAGUAAUUUUGAAAAAUCUCUUGAUCUAGACCAUGUUCUGAGCGUGUAUUCUGCCAAUUUGUGAUGGAAUCUAGCAGUUCAUGCAAAAUCAUCGUGAAAUUAAUUCAAUUGCAAUGAUGGAAGGGGAGAUUUAUGGGACAUCAAAUUUCGUUUCUGUUCAUCCAGCAACAAAAUUUUGAAGCUUUUG
rnacentral:rRNA from 1 species